UCUGUGGUGAUCCUUUGAAUUAAAACUCAGGUAUUUGUCCAAUACAACUAAAGAGCGAAGAGGGAAUUGCUGUGCCUUUUGUGGUUCUAAAAUAAGGAAAACCAGGCAAAAAAAUAAUCCCAUGCAGUGCCUUGAUCUGCUCAGUGGUGAUCCUUUGAAUUAAAACUCAGGUAUUAAACCAAAGAGGAUAAGGGGGAAAUGCAGUGCCUUCUCAGGCUCCAUAAAGUGGAAAAAAACCGGGUAAAAUGCGCAGUGCCUUUAUUUGCUCUGUGGUGAACCUUUGAAUUAAAACUCAGGUAUUAAACCAAUACAGCCAAAGAGAAAAAGGGGGGAAUGCUGUGCCUUUUAUGGCUCUAAAAUAAGGAAAACCAGGCAAAAAAUAAUCCCAUGCAGUGCCUUGUUCUG